ACCUUCUCCCACUACUCUCGGACACCACCUUUGAAGCAGCACAAUUGUUCUUACCCCGGUACGUUUCCAAGCUUCGAUUCACUGCAUAUGGAGAGAGUGGAAUGCUCGUUCCCAUGGAGACACGCCCACAUCGUCACCUAGACUAAUCAAACUCCUUGGAAAAAAAGUUUGCAUCGGUAUACUACAAGAAAACAGCUAAGUUACUUUUUGGCAGGACAAGAAAACAACUAACUUAUUUUCUUGCAGGACAAGAAAACAGCUAGAUGGC